AUUGAACGCUGGCGGCAUGCCUUACACAUGCAAGUCGAACGGCAGCACGGGUGCUUGCACCUGGUGGCGAGUGGCGAACGGGUGAGUAAUACAUCGGAACGUACCUUAUCGUGGGGGAUAACGCAGCGAAAGCUGUGCUAAUACCGCAUACGCCCUGAGGGGGAAAGCGGGGGAUCGCAAGACCUCGCGCGAUUAGAGCGGCCGAUGCCUGAUUAGCUAGUUGGUGGGGUAAAAGCCCACCAAGGCGACGAUCAGUAGCUGGUCUGAGAGGACGAUCAGCCACACUGGGACUGAGACACGGCCCAGACUCCUACGGGAGGCAGCAGUGGGGAAUUUUGGACAAUGGGGGCAACCCUGAUCCAGUAAUGCCGCGUGAGUGAAGAAGGCCUUCGGGUUGUAAAGCUCUUUUGUCAGGGAAGAAACACCGGCUCUAACACAGUCCGGGAAUGACGGUACCUGAAGAAUAAGCACCGGCUAGCUACGUGCCAGCAGCCGCAGUAA
rnacentral:rRNA from 1 species